rnacentral:tRNA from 1 species
UUAUUGAAUGGCUGAAAAGAAAGCAAUGGUCUCUUAAACCAAACUAUAGUACACGUAUACUUUCAAUAAA